GUUUGAUAUGUCUAAGUAAAGUGUUAAACAAAAAAAAAGGUAUUCAGAAUGAGAAAGAUUCAAUAAAUAUCUCGAGUUGUUCAAGAAAAUGGAUAUUAAAUGAUUGCGAAUCUGUGAUGCAUACGAAACUUACCAGGUUGUGGCGGUGGUUGUGUUGUUGGAUUGAGUGGACUGCAUUUACCUCCCACUGGCAAGGUUUCAUUAAAGCCACAACUUCCAUGAGAGGAUAAACAUUCUUGACAUGAUGUAUCAUCGAUCUUCACUUUUACUUCAAAUCCUUUACUUAAAACACUUUCCAAAUUGGUCAUAUUCAACUCUUUCUCUCCUGCACCAAAACGUGUAGGAACAAUCACGGUGAAAGUGUCACCGCAGAUUUUAUGAUAUUCAUGGUUUUCAGACACAAAGAUAAAACCUCUCAUAGGACAUUUAUAACUCGAAACGUAAUGAGUCAAUAAGAAGCAGUAGUAGAAAACGGUGAGCCUCUUGUAAGUUGGAGAAAGCUCGAAAAUAUUUGGAGGCAAGGUUAUGGUAGUGAAAGUAGAGUUGCAAAUUGAACCUAAAAGUGAAGCUCCAGCGAUGGAAGACCGCAAUGUUUUAGACGAUUCCCUCCCCAGAAGGGGAAACCAGCGGUGAUAUUCCCACACUGAAACUGAGUCUCACAUAAUCGAAGUUCUUGUAUACUUGAAGAACAAGCAAGAGAAAUUAAAGAAAAGAGGAAGAACAGGACAAAACAUAAAGUGGGGUAGUAGUAGUACAUGUUGUUUGAGAUAUGAACAAAGUGUCUUCUGGGUUUAGUUUAUGUUGAAAAGAGCAGAGGAAAUGAAUUAAACAAAAAAAAGAGAUAAGCAUACAAGUUGAGGUUGAAAGGUGAAGGGCUUGAGGACUAAGUCAAGUGAGGAUAGUGACAGAAGCGAAGACUUGGGAUGUCAGUAUUAGUUUACUUCGAAAAGAUUUUUGUUUUUGUUUUGUUUUGUUUUUUCUUCUUCCUCAAAGCUUAAAAAAUUGAAAAAUAUUUCCUAAUAUUUUGAAAUUUCUCUAUUUAAGGAAAUUUCCGAAACAUUACGGUGUUUUGUAACACUUUUAGAGCCUGAUCAGGUUUCGAACUGUUGGGUACUUGGGUACAAUCAUGAAUCAAG